GAAGGCGGGCGCUAAGCCGCUGAGCACCCGGGCUGCCCUCCCUUGGAAUUGGGGCCAGUCUGCAGGCCGGAGAGGCAGGAUUCUGGGGAACCAGCACGGAGCAGGUGGGCACUCGUGUCGCCUGUUAGCACAGACAGGAGGCCCCCGUGUCAGCGGGCACAGGGAGAGGCUUGGCCGGCCAGUCAGCCUUCUGGACACAGGAAGAUUUAUUUAAGAGAGAGCACGCACGCACAAGCCGGGCAAGAGGCAGAGGAGAGGGAAAG